rnacentral:tRNA from 1 species
CGGGGCGUAGUUCAGUUGGCUAGAACGCCAGGCUGGGGGUCUGGAAGUCUGCAGUUCAAGUCUGCACGCCCCGACCA